CUUGUAUUUCAUGAAGAGGAACAAUCUCACUUGCUCUGGCUGAGAAGUUGAAAUCUGCAUCUGCAAACUUCCACUGUCAGAGUUCUCUUUGAGUUAGAUUAUUUACUUAUUUAUAAACCUAUUUUAAAAGCUCAUCACUCUGCUUUCUUGGCUAUAGGCUGAAAUGUGCCAGGGUUACCAAGGUGCAAGUAGCAGAUUGAACGAGCACUGUGGCUGAGUAAUGUGAACAGGGGUGAUUCCUCAGGCAAGCGUAGUGAAACAGCUACUGUGUAUCUCUGCAACUUCCAAAGCUGGCUGGAGCUAGAUAUGAGGUGUUUACAAGGUAACCACCAGAACCAGCGUAUUCAAAGCUACAGAACUGGCAGACAUCAGUAUCUAAUAGCUGGUGUCCUUCCUCCUUUCCUCCCGUUACAUACGCUCUGUGAAAUGGUGUCAGUGAAGACAACCAAGCCUGCUCUUCUUUUUCCCCAAGCAACUCACAAAUUAUUUGGGAAUCUCAGAGAAGCCCAGCACCAGACAUCAUUAAUUCUCUAG
rnacentral:lncRNA from 1 species